rnacentral:rRNA from 1 species
UACGAGGGGGGCGAGCGUUGUUCGGAAUUAUUGGGCGUAAAGGGCGCGUAGGCGGUGCGGUAAGUCACCUGUGAAACCUCUAGGCUUAACCUAGAGCCUGCAGGCGAAACUGCCGUGCUGGAGUGUGGGAGAGGUGCGUGGAAUUCCUGGUGUAGCGGUGAAAUGCGUAGAUAUCAGGAGGAACACCCAUGGCGAAGGCAGCAAGCUGGGCCGCAUCUGACGCUGAGGCGCGAAAGCGUGGGGAGCGAACAGG